UACCCUCCACAUCCAGCUGUAGGUACAGUAACCCUUCACUACCCUCCUCAUCCAGCUGUAGGUUCAGUAACCCUUCACUACCCUCCUCAUCCAGCUGUAGGUACAGUAACCCUUCACUACCCUCCUCAUCCAGCUGUAGGUACAGUAACCCUUCACUACCCUCCACAUCCAGCUGUAGGUACAGUAACCCUUCACUACCCUCCUCAUCCAGCUGUAGGUACAGUAACCCUUCACUACCCUCCACAUCCAGCUGUAGGUACAGUAACCCUUCACUACCCUCCUCAUCCAGCUGUAGGUACAGUAACCCUUCACUACCCUCCUCAUCCAGCUGUAGGUACAGUAACCCUUCACUACCCUCCACAUCCAGCUGUAGGUACAGUAACCCUUCACUACCCUCCUCAUCCAGCUGUAGGUACAGUAACCCUUCACUACCCUCCUCAUCCAGCUGUAGGUACAGUAACCCUUCACUACCCUCCUCAUCCAGCUGUAGGUACAGUAACCCUUCACUACCCUCCACAUCCAGCUGCAGAGUGGCAGGUACAGUAACCCUUCACUACCCUCCUCAUCCAGCUGUAGGUACAGUAACCCUUCACUACCCUCCUCAUCCAGCUGUAGGUACAGUAACCCUUCACUACCCUCCUCAUCCAGCUGUAGGUACAGUAACCCUUCACUACCCUCCACAUCCAGC